AUAUUUUACUCUAUUGUUAUUUAGUGUCUCUUAUAAUUGCCAGCUUCAUUUUCACUGGCAUUUCUGAAUGUACACUAUUACUUACUUAUACUUGGACUCAUGCUGUAAUCUCAGUAAUAAUUAGGAUUAUUCUACAAUAGUCUUUAUUUUAUGCAUACAUUUUUCUUUUUGUCCUUUGUUCUAAACUAUCAAUAGCUUUAGAAUGUAAUAAUUUUUUAUUUAUU